rfam:Symbiodinium microadriaticum strain CCMP2467 Smic.scaffold1416, whole genome shotgun sequence.
GGUUCAGUCACUUUUGGGUGUAAGCAACAAGUACCAGGUCACCCGGUGACCCGGUACUUGUUGCUUACACCCAAAAGUGACUGAACC